rnacentral:rRNA from 1 species
AACGAACGCUGGCGGCAUGCCUAACACAUGCAAGUCGAACGGGAUCCUAGCUUGCUAGGUGAGAGUGGCGGACGGGUGAGUAACACGUGGGAAUCUGCCUUUUUGGUUCGGGAUAACCGCGGGAAACUGCGGCUAAUACCGAAUGCCCUCGAGAGAGGAAAGAUUUAUCGCCAGAAGAGGAGCCCGCGUCCGAUUAGGUAGUUGGUGGGGUAAAAGCCUACAAGCCGACGAUCGGUAGCUGGUCUGAGAGGAUGAUCAGCCACACUGGGACUGAGAUACGGCCCAGACUCCUACGGAGGCAGCAGUGGGGAAUAUUGGACAAUGGGGGCAACCCUGAUCCAGCAAUGCCGCGUGAGUGAUGAAGGCCUUA